rnacentral:lncRNA from 1 species
UGGAGAAUACUAAUAACGCCGAGAGCCCAUUCCAGCACUCUGCCAGGAGUGUCCUUCUCGUUAAAGUAAUAACAGCAGAAAUGGGACCCUUAAAGCCUGCUGAUUUUUGACUAAGUCCUUGUCAAGGGUAAUCUGGGGCAUGUUAAAUAAGCCAUGGCUUUCCUGAAAGACGAAAAUGAUGUGAUAUCGAAAGAAUGACGUACAGGUGGGUCAAGUUUUACAUGAAUAAAUAUGAAUAAAAUAAUUAGCUAUGACGUCAUGGAUCGGAAUAAACUGGUUCUCUCAGCAACAUUUGUGAAAAGUAGCUGAGUUAGAACCCGCUAGACAACCUGUUCUCAAGUUCUCAUGAGCUAUACCUCAGGUAGUUGAAAGUCGGAAGCUCGGCCUCCUAAUCAAACCCAGCAAGGAUGCCUGGGCCACUAUUCGAGUGUUACAAGCCUGUAUGACUAAGUUCUACCUCUGGAAGCAACGACGAUAGGGCGAUAAUCAUUUUGCAUCCUCCCAGGGAUCAGCUUUGAUACAAAAAGACUGACAUGAGUAGUGGGAAGAGCCCUGGCCCUUCCUAGGAUGCCUAAACACUG